rnacentral:rRNA from 1 species
AAUGAACGCUGGCGGCGGGCCUAACACAUGCCAGUCGAGCGGACACACAAUAAGCGCUUGCUUCUACGGGUGGCGGCUGGCGGACGAGUGAGACAUGCAUAACCAUCCUCUAUUUCUUGGGGGAUUUCGUCGAGCAACUUCUGCUAACACCGAAUACGAUCUACCGCUGGGAUCAAGAGAUCAUCGCACCUUUCCUGAUUCUAUGAGCUGAGGUCGGAUUAGCUUGGUGGGGGGGUAAGGGAACACCUAGGCAAGGAUCCGUAGCUGACCUGAGAGGAUGGGCAGCCACACUGGAACGGAGACACGGUCCAGACUCCUACGGGAGGCAGCAGUGGGGAAUAUUCGACAAUGGGCGCAAGCCUGACGCAGCCAGGCCGCGUGAGUGAAGAAGGUCUUCGGGUUGUAAAGCUCUUUUGUUGGGGAAGAAAAACAGUGUGAGAAAACACGCAUGUAUUGACGGUACCCAAUGAGUAAGCACCGGCUAACUACGUG